rnacentral:misc_RNA from 1 species
GAUGAAGAACGCAGCGAAAUGCGAUAAGUAAUGUGAAUUGCAGAAUUCAGUGAAUCAUCGAAUCUUUGAACGCACAUUGCGCCCGCCAGUAUUCUGGCGGGCAUGCCUGUUCGAGCGUCAUUUCAACCAUCAAGCCCCCGGCUUGUGUUGGGGACCUGCGGCUGCCGCAGGCCCUGAAAAGCAGUGGCGGGCUCGCUGUCACACCGAGCGUAGUAGCAUACAUCUCGCUCUGGGCGUGCUGCGGGUUCCGGCCGUUAAACCACCUUCAUAACCCAAGGUUGACCUCGGAUCAGGUAGGAAGACCCGCUGAACUUAAGCAUAUCAAUAAGCGGAGA